GUACCUGAGGGAUGAAACAAAAACAAGGGUUUCCAUCAUCUGUAAAUAGAGUUAAACUUUUCCAUGAAAGCAUUAAGUCCACAGAGCACAGCCAAGCCACCUUGCCAGUCUUGUCCAGCCUCCCUGAGGUCUGUGAGCCCAGGGAAGUGCAUGUUUGGAUAGGUGGCCAGCUCCUAUUUCCAGAGACACACAGCCCUGUUGAUGCUCUGUGGAGCCUGGGGAUGGGGCCUGCUGCCAGCAGCCUGCUCUUCCCCCAGUGCUGGCAGCAGCACCUUGUUCCUCACUAAAUGACAUAUUGAUCCUGCAGGUCACUGCAAGGAGGGCAAUUCUGCUCUGAGAGAGGCAGCCCACACUGCAAAGAAGCUGUGAGCAUUAUAUUGGAACACUCACUUAUGUUCAGGGCAGGCUGGAGCAGCACCCUGGACCCCCAACCCCCUAUUCUGCCUUGGCCCUCACUGACUGUCCGGAAAGCUGCGUCCUGUUCAGCAGUUCACUACCAGUAAAGAGCUGUUUCCUCUGCACUCAGGGGAACUAUGACUAUUAAAGACUCUUCUUUUAUACCCACAAACCUGCCAUGCUUGUUUCUGUUACCUUGACAACCAAAAAAGUAUUUUUUUCCCUGCUCCAAGUUGUAUUCCCAAUAAAAUAAUAUAAAAUUAAGGGAAAAAAAAAAACCAAACUCCUGCAAGUGCAUUUUUAUAAUAGUUAUUCAGUAGCUCCAGAUUCUUUUGUCACUAUAACAUAGCUGAUACUCAACUUCUAAGCCAAAAAGUAUUUACAGAUGCUGCUUACCUGUAGGAUUGUGCCGGAUGAAAAAUACAAAUGGUCUGUCUACUAUGAACCAAGGAGGGGACGACCUGGCUAUUAAAAUUGCAGCUUGCAAAAAAACAAAAAAAAGUCUGGAGUGAGACAAAUCAAGCACCAUAAUGCAGUUUAUACUAUACCAAAGUAAAGUUUCCUUGUAGAUAUAUAUAAUGUGUAUGUAUAUAUAUCUAUAGGCUUGAACAGGUGUAGACAAAUGCCUAAAACCUACUAACUUGGACAUUUAAAGCCACACAGGUCACAUGAUAUUCUUACAGGAAGCAUUUAAAAGACAUAAGACCCACAGAGAACUGAAAGUCUUAGGUUGUCACCCAAAGGCUGUAGUAGCUUACUUCUUUUUGUAACUUGGAUAGUCAGAAUGUGCCAUCAGUGGUCUGAUAUAAAGCCUAAGCUAUGGGAAGACACUUCUCUAGGUAAGCCUGUCAAUAUUUCUUACAGUGAUCAACACUGGCAAUUUGAGAUUUGACUGAGAAAUCACAUAAAACCCAUCAACCGAUCUGAGUCUGAGAUCACUGCAUACUGCUGCAGUGAUCUCCAAGUGGGCUAUCUUUGCCUAGUGCCAAAGCCUUCUAAUGGAGUUUUCCCAAGUCUGACAGUUAUCAGUACAACUGCUUACUUGUUGCUGCAGAAGCUUUGGUUCCAUCUUCACUGACUUCAAUUUUUGUCUUUUGCAGAACGUUGGAUACAUGAAGACCUUCUGUUCCUGAAAGACCCAAGGAGAACAGCACCUUCAGUAAAACUCACUGAGAGAGUCCUGAAGUACUGUGUAGCUAAGCAUGGCUCAGAAUACUAAAAGCUGCUACAAUCCUGCUGGAAUCCCAAAGCUGCAGUGCAGAACAAUACCUUUGAAUACAGUCACUAAUGGUUCUCAGGCUGGAUCCUACACAUCUAACACUGGUUGCAGAAGUCAGCUCCAGGACAGACACACAAGGCAAACUGUCCAACAGCCUUAAUAGUUUCUCUACAUUAAAUACAGGCCAACAUAAUGGAUACUAUAACCAGCAUCAGAGGUCAAAAGCCUUCAAGGACUGGAGACUGUGGCAGUGCCAUUUCUCUAUCUGCAGUAAAAUACAAACGGAAACUCCAAUCUUUCCCUCAUACACAGCUCACCACCAGCGAAGCUUAACCAACAUGCAAAUUUUGCAAUUUGGAUACUUCAGACUUUCCCUUUUGAAGGCAAAGGAUAAGGCAGUAUUUGAUAGAGCAUCCAACCUUAAGGCAACUGUUAAGUACCUUGUCCAUGCCUCAGCAGCAGAAGACACUCCUAUAACACUACCCACCUAUAUCAGCUACAAGAAGCAACACCAUUAAACACCACAUACACAGCAAGCUCCUGGAAAGAGCAAACUCUACACCCUUUGUUGGUGGUAGUGGGAGUCUGAGCUUACCACAGCGAAAGAUGGACAGCUGGGACAGCAUAGGAACUUGGUAGGUCUUCCCAUCAGCUCCAUAAAAUGGGCGUUUCUUGGUAUUUUCAGGUCGAAAUCGUGAUUUCCAUAAGCCCUUGAAAUACACAGCAUUCACUAACACCAGUCUGGUCAAAGUGCCUUCAAUAUCAUCUGGAGCUACAACCUGAUCAAUCAUACCUAGAAGAAAUAAAGGAAUUCUUGAGUAUUUGCUGUUGUAACACUGGCCAACUGUUUUUAAAGAACCUGACACACAUUACUUUAAAGCCCUUGACCCGAGAGUGUGCCAGCUCCUCAUGCAACAAUAUAUUUUAAAUUCAGUCAAUGGUAUUCUUUGUCAAAAAGUAAACUUCUGGAAUAAACAUAUCUUGCUAACUGACAGCCUGAUGUUUUAACAGCUAACAAGGCUCUACCCUUUCCAGCAGCAAGCAGAUCUAACUACAUGGAAUAGUUUCAGCUGAAACACCUCCCCAUUCACACACUGCUUGCAACAUUGCUAUGCAAAACUGGUGAUGUGGUCGAGAAAGAAUUUAACAGCCUCAUUUGACAAAUACCACAUUCAACAUCGUUAACACACUCCUCACAUCCAGGAGAGGCUUGUUUUAGCUCCAGAAGGUACCAAAAACAUAAUUGCCCUGGACUGGGAACACACUGCAAAACGUGAUCUCUGGCUUUAGUGUAUGUAAGCUUUACAACUGGUUCAAGAGGCUUGAAGCAUGAGGAGUUCUGCCAAGGCAGCCACCAAAUGUGAGUUCUAAGAACAGGGUCAUGUCUUAGGACAGUUUAGAGCAGUCAGAGCAAAAGCUGAACUGCCCUUCAGCUUCCUGUGAGUCUGAUUUACUGAGUAAAACAUCUGAGUUGCCUGAAAGCCUCUACGUUUGAGAGAAAGCAUGGACCCAAGAUAAUUGUACUUGGAUUUCUCACAUGAAUGCAAAGAAGAAUAAAAGCUGAUCUGAUCCCAUGGAUGGAUGGGAUGGACACACACCCCAAACACAUCCCUCCAGGCUACCACACAGGCACAUCUGCUGGGGCAACAAGAUUGCUGGUUCCUAACCCAUCAGUUCUAAAGCAUCACACUAAUGCCAGCCAAAAGACAGUUCUGAGCUGCAGAACAGAGCUUUCUCUACCUCCCUGUAUCUUUCUCCAAUAUUUCCAUCUAAAUUGGUGGUCUCAGACACCACCAUGCCUUGGACAAAGGCACUCCCCAGUACUCACCCCUUGUUUCAUUUUUCACCCAUUGGUUGAUGGAAUCACAUGCUGCAUUUGGGUCCUCGAAGUCCACACUCUUGACACUGCACUGAAACACCUCUUUGUUCCUUGUAACAAAAGGCACUUCCAUUUUAAAGCCAUUCUUUGCAAACACUGCAUUAGCAAUUGUUACAAUGUCUUUAUUCUUUUUUGAGACUAUCAGCCUGUUUAUCUUCUUUAAGGCUUUACCCACUCCUAGUUGGAAAAAACAGCAAGUUUAAUUUAGAAUAGCAUGAUAAAUCAACAGUUAAUCUAUAUGCAACCAUUAAUGACAUGAAAAAGCCAGACAUUAAGUGUUGGACUAGAAAAGGAAGACCAAAGCAAGCAUUCUGAAGGCACUUCCAAAAUACUCAUUUCUGAUGCCUCAUCUGCAUAACACUACUGAUUCCCAGCAAAAACAUGAAUCUCCACUAUGAUGCCUGCUGCACCUCCAGCUGUCUGCUCAGUGUUACAGGCAGUGCUUGGGAUUACACUGAGGUUCAAAUAUUACUGUAGAGCUACAAAUCAUGCUCUUCCACAGAACAAACUGUUCCAAAAAUACUUCAUAUCAUAUAAGCCAGGUCAAUUGUCAGUUCUGUGACAAUGACAAAGCAAGUCAAAGGGUGAGCCUACUCACUCAGAGUUCUGCAGGAUUUGCAUAACAAAUGGUCUUGAGUCUCAGAAUGUAAAGCAAAAAUUGUUUUCUUUACUUCCUUUCCAUUUGCUGGAGAAUAAAGGAAGCUGUCAAGAGUUUUAUAAUAAACUUCCAAGUUGAGUCUUAGUUUCCUUAAAGACUAAGUCCUGGCUUAAAUCAGCUACAAGCAAGAAUUAAUCUCUUAACACAUGAGCUUGCCUCUAAAAAAGGAAAAGGGAAAAUAGUAGGUUCCAGUGCUUAGUUAAGAUCCUUAGGACCUGAAAGCAGAUUGUACCAAGUGCUUGCUAGCUCCUUCACUGCGUGUGAGGGAAAGCAUAUGGCAGCACAGAAGAACUGCAAUGUUCACCAGACCCAGCUCUCCUGUGCUACGCCUCACCAAUGAGUGCCUGUCUACAUAGGGAAGGCUCUGCCAGGCAGGCAACUUCAUGUUCAACCACUGCAUCAAACAGCAUCCUUGGGCAGCUGUUAUUAAAGGGUUCCCUCUGCUUCCCAAUACAAUUUAGGCAGAAACAUUUCCUGACUACUUUCUUAUACAGACAAAGAAGAGAUAUGACAGGAAUAAAUUAGUUCAGAGUUAUUCUCUUAGCUGCAUGUAAGAAAAAAACCUCAGAUGGCUUUGCUGUUUCAUGUGUCAUAAAUGCUUUAAAAGCACCACUGGUAUGAAUUUCUACGUGUUCACUCUCCAAUACUAGGGGCAAAUUCUUUUGGAGAACAUACCAUAACAGAGGUUCUCAAACUGUAUUCUGUGGACCACUGGUGGCCCACGGAGCACUUGCUGGUGGUCCGGGGAGAGCUGGCUGGUCUCAUGAUGCUGGCUCUCCUCUUUGCUUCCAGCUGCUAAAUUGCAUUAAAAGACAGCUAAAGACAAAUUAAAAACUUUCCAACUAAAACCUUUCCAAAGAAGCAGUUGCUACAGUUGCCAAAGGACUUUAAGGUAGUCAUGAAAAAGAGCAGGGGAAACCUGUGCAAGGACAGAGGUAGCACCAUAACAGGCCUCUAACCAGGCAGUGGCUACCUUCUAAGGUGUUUGAGAACCUCUGUGUCUCACAGUUGGGAUUAGGAAGUCUGAAGGCCAAACAAAACCAGUUGAUAUAAUACUUCAACAUUUUUGCAAGUGCUUAGCUUUUAAGCAUUCAAAUAUUCCUAGAGCUGAUCAUCCCAUGAAGAGAUUUCAAUCGGUAUCAUUUAGAUGUUAAGGUGUCAAAUAAUUUUAUUGUACUUCAAAUCCAGGACCAAAACAGCAAAGCAAAUGAAGACAGGACAACAUGUUAUAUGACAACAUGUUAUAUGACAAUACUGCUCAAGAUUUAAAUGUGCACUUACCUCCUGGAGGGUUUUCUAUUCUUGGAAGUAAGGCAGAAUGCUGGCACUAAGAUGUUAAGUCUUGCUGGCAAACACUCACAAAAAUAGCAUGCAAAUUAAAGCAGUAAGAAUCUUCAGCCUACUCCCUCUGGAGGGGCAGACAUUGGCAGAGGAAUAUGAACACAGAUGCAUGCAGUGUCAGGCACAGGCAAGCAGAAAUGGCUGUUUCAAGAAGAGGGCACUACAAGAACUACACAUACAGGGGUUCUGACAGCAGAAACAGGUGAACAAAACCGCAGAGCAACAUGAAAGUACCAAUUGUAUGGUUAGUUUGCACUGCUUUCAGUGAGGUGCCAAGAGAUAUCCUCUUGCCCUGUUAUCUAAGGAGUGGCACAUUAAAAGUCGUUCAGCACAGCCUGAAAUGGAGUACUGCCACCUUCCUGCUCAGAGCUAGCACUGGACCACCAUCCACCCUGUUCUGGAAUACCAAUUUGGCAAGGACAAAGGCAGGUCUAGCUAGGGCCCUGAAGGCAGUAACCAAGCUACUUAUAAGCCAGUUUGGGUAUAUGUACAUGCCCAUGCUCAAAUUGCCAAUUAACUUCAAGCAUGUCCAUUCUGUGCUUUUGUAAACAGAGUUAAUUGGUGCAUGAUGCAAUCUACCACACUUUGAAAGCCAUCUCACACAUCAUGAAGAGUCUGAAAAACACACCCAAAACCACCUUAGGAUCACUGACCAUUUACACUGUAUCUCAUCAUAGUUGUCAGCUGCUUCUUUGUCUUGCCAUCAGCUCCCAGCUGCAACACCCCCAGGACAGAUGCAAUCCCGUGAGGAGAAACAACAACAUUGUCCUGAGGCUUAGCUUUCACUAUUUGAUUGAAGACCUGGAUUCCAACAUCGGAGCUAAGCUCCUCCAGAGGAUAAAAACUGAACUGGGAACAUACAGACAUUAAAGUCCCAAGAACAAAGAGGAGCGAAAAGUG